GCAAACUUGGUCAUUUAGAGGAAGUAAAAGUCGUAACAAGGUUUCCGUAGGUGAACCUGCGGAAGGAUCAUUAAAGAAUAUGAAUUCGGCGUGAAUUGUCGAAGCCAUUUUCUGUGAACAACUGUCUUUUGUUAUUUGGGGAUUGAAAAUGUCCAAUUCGUAAAAGAAAUGGACGGCCCCAAACAUCAUUUAAACAAACCCAUUUUAUCCUUAAUGAACUGAUAUUUUAAUUCAAAAAAUAAUUGAAAAAAUAACUUUCAACAACGGAUCUCUUGGUUCUCGCAUCGAUGAAGAACGCAGC
rnacentral:misc_RNA from 1 species